AGGACGAACGCUGGCGGCGUGCUUAACACAUGCAAGUCGAACGGUGACCCAGGGCUUGCCCUGGUGAUCAGUGGCGAACGGGUGAGUAACACGUGGGCAACCUGCCCCUGACUUCGGGAUAACUCCUCGAAAGAGGAGCUAAUACCGGAUACGACCACUUCGGACAUCCGAUGGUGGUGGAAAGUUCUUCGGUCAGGGAUGGGCCCGCGGCCUAUCAGCUAGUUGGUGGGGUAAUGGCCUACCAAGGCGACGACGGGUAGCCGGCCUGAGAGGGCGACCGGCCACACUGGGACUGAGACACGGCCCAGACUCCUACGGGAGGCAGCAGUGGGGAAUAUUGCGCAAUGGCGAAAGCCUGACGCAGCGACGCCGCGUGAGGGAUGAAGGCCUUCGGGUUGUAAACCUCUUUCAGCAGGGACGAAGCGAAAGUGACGGUACCUGCAGAAGAAGCACCGGCUAACUACGUG
rnacentral:rRNA from 1 species